GAUGAACGCUGGCGGCGUGCUUAAUACAUGCAAGUCGAACGAAGCACCUUGGACAGAAUCCUUCGGGAGGAAGACCAUUGUGACUGAGUGGCGGACGGGUGAGUAACGCGUGGGUAACCUGCCUUGUACAGGGGGAUAACAGUUGGAAACGACUGCUAAUACCGCAUAAGCGCACAGUACCGCAUGGUACGGUGUGAAAAAACUCCGGUGGUACAAGAUGGACCCGCGUCUGAUUAGCUGGUUGGUGAGGUAACGGCCCACCAAGGCGACGAUCAGUAGCCGACUUGAGAGAGUGAUCGGCCACAUUGGGACUGAGACACGGCCCAAACUCCUACGGGAGGCAGCAGUAGGGAAUAUUGCACAAUGGGGGAAACCCUGAUGCAGCGACGCCGCGUGAAGGAAGAAGUAUUUCGGUAUGUAAACUUCUAUCAGCAAGGAAGAAAAUGACGGUACUUGACUAAGAAGCCC
rnacentral:rRNA from 1 species